rnacentral:rRNA from 1 species
CGCGUAGGAAUCUACCCAGUAGUGGGGGACAACUAGUGGAAACGCUAGCUAAUACCGCAUACGCCCUAAGGGGGAAAGCGGGGGAUCUUCGGACCUCGUGCUAUUGGAUGAGCCUGCGUAAGAUUAGCUUGUUGGUGAGGUAAUGGCUCACCAAGGCAACGAUCCCUAGCUGGUUUGAGAGGAUGAUCAGCCACACUGGAACUGAGACACGGUCCAGACUCCUACGGGAGGCAGCAGUGGGGAAUAUUGCACAAUGGGCGAAAGCCUGAUGCAGCCAUGCCGCGUGUGUGAAGAAGGCCU